rnacentral:lncRNA from 1 species
UUUUUUUUUAAGUUUUAGUUGAGCGGACGAAAUAUCAUCCGAUUUAUGUAGAUUAUAUCGAAUGUUGUUCGUUUGCAUGAAUUCUGUCAUGUUUGCGUGAAUUAUGUCCGAAUUUAUUUGUAUUGCGGGUGGAGGUUUGGGGCGGCGUUGGAUGGCCUAUUCCCGUAUCAUUGUCCGCGGACGUGUUCGUGAAUAAAAUAAUAUGUCCGUUUUGGGGCCGGUGUUUGAGAUGUCCUAAGGGCAGAGAUCAUCCAACCAAAGUCAUCAAAUGUCCACUCCUAGCCAUUUCUUCUUGUACCCGGACUACUCAAAAGAAUCAAAGAUAAAAUAGCACAAUUCUUAAGCAACUGAAAGAUAAAUAUUUCAAAGCAAGAAUAAUUCAAUUAAAAUGUUACAAUCAAAAUGUAAAUUUUUGAAAUAAAAUAGUUCAAGUUUGAUUUCAUAUCAGUCGGGCACACAUUCUAGUGCAUAUAAAACACCCAAAAUGCUCAACCAGAACAUUUUGCAGCGGCUCAUGAGUUUCUCAAUAUCGAAUUUGAUGGUGUGUCUGCAUAAAAUCCUCAAAUGUCAUCGGAUUCUGCUCUAAAAGUUUGGAUAGGAUCACCCAUAUUUUGAAAAUGCAGACGAUGGUGAACCCCAUCACCCUCAUCCCAUAAUCUUGUAGUGCAUGUUCACACAAUCUGUCAUCACCUCCCACAAUGUCUUUAGAUCCCAUAGUUUGGCAGGUCCGCGAAUAACUGCAGAGCGGGCUUGGAGCACUUCAAAUGCCCUCUCGACAUCCUUUAUAACAUAUUCUUGACUUUGGGCAAAGUGAUAUCUUUUUUUUUACCCAUUGAUUCAGAUAUAUGGUCUUAACUAAACAAAGAUAGUACACAACCUUGCAAAUAAUGGACACCACUGCAGCACGUUGAUGUCAUUGUAGACCCAGGCAUGCCAAAGAAAGAGCGCUAAAUCUAGAUGUCAUGGGAUGCAACUGCUUCAGGAAUGAUGGUGGGCUUUUUGCAAUGGCCUUGGUAUUGCCCUUGUUCUGCAUACCGCGGUUUUUUCAUUCCCAUCGCAUGCAAUUUAGGGAUCCGAGCAUACCUAGAAAACCCUCUUUCUUCUCCAAUUGCCAUGGGUUUUGCAGUGUCUGCAGGAGUUGGUUCUUUCAAGUACUUCGUCCAAACACCUUCACCACUACAGUAUCAAAUUUGACCAUGGCUUCGAGAUAUGUGCUUUUAGACAUCCAGAGGUACUCAUCGCACAAAUUUGUGACCAUGCCAUAGGAAAGCAACCUCACUGCAGCACACAAAACUCAAUGAUUCCUACUUCAGGGUGAUAUAAUCAUCACAGGCUCGGACACCACGGUAGAUACGAUCAAACACUUGUCGCCACAUUUGAAAAUGAAGACGUAAUAGGGCUUGAAUAACACAUCGGGGGCAAAACAGCUGCCGGCCAGCAACAGAUGCCCCCGUGUGUUAUUCCGGUUCAACAGCCGAUGUCCUUUUGUUGAACCCUUGUAGUUGAGAAUAUGCUCAGACGCACGCAUUGCCCCUGCAAGAACCGCUCUCAUCAUGGUUGUUUCCAUGCUCAUAUUCCUCCUCAUCCGACAAAGACGACUCAAUGAACUCGAUGUGGAAGUACUCCCCAUCCAAAUCCAUCGUGUUUGAUUCAAAGUAAACAACGAGCUUCAGAAAAAUUGGCUAUGGCAUUUGAUCAAACAUUUGUCGGGCGUGGUGACCGCCAUGGAUGGCGUCGACAGAUAGCGGGGAUACCUGGGAUGCGGCCAGAUCUGAGGUGGGACGACAAUGUAGGGGAAGGCGGGCAAAGCGCCUGGGUGAAGCGGUGGAGGUCCGGGAAGGCGUGGGCGGCGGUCGGGGUGAUACAACAGAGGAGUCGGUCAGCGACGGAGUAGAUAUAAAGCACAGUAAAGAGAGAUGGAAUGGGAAAAAGGUGCUUCGGAUCGAAAAAGCAUUGCGGGGCCGGGCUCCAUAGAGCUCUUUAAUUUUUUUAGCAAAAAUACUAUUUUCACAUAUUGAAAAAAUCUGAAAAAUAAGUAUACAUAGAUGUAUUUUUGUAGUAUACACGUAUAAAAUGUCAUGAAUAUUUAUCUUUUUAGAAAGGAGGGAGUAUAUUAACUUUGUAUUAAUGACUCAACUUUGUAUUAACUUUAGUACAAAGUUGGAUCAUCUAUUUUAGAACGGAGGGAGUAUAUGUUUGCACGUAAUGUAUACAAAAAAGAUAAAUGCACAAAAUAGAAUGGGCUUUAUCUUUGUUGUUUUUGGGCUAGAUAUUUAUCUUUUUUGUGUAGCAUGCAAAUAAUCGAAUCACCUGAUGAAACUUUUUACAUACUUGACGAACAUGCAUAUGUAUUUUUUGAUAUUUUUUGAAGCUUUUAAUUUUAUUUUACUUUUUGGCAAAACAGGCACAAUGAAGCCGGGCAUCUGCAACACCGUGCCCUCUUUGGAUGAGGUAUUUUAAGUGGACCAAGCGUGUCAGAGUUCGACAUGAAGGAGAUCCGAACAUCUGCAACCCUCCCCUGUGUUUACUUCUGUUUUGUGGGAUUUCAGACAUGCGAAUCUAUCCAGACAAAAUUGUGGACCGGUGUUGGACGGCAAAAGAUGUGGGAUUUCAAACAUGCGGACCUAUCCUGACAAAAUUGUGGACCGGUGUUGGACGGCAAAAAAUCAAAAUUAUGUACCGGUGUUCGAUGCCAAAAAGAUGUCCGAACAGUCCACUCCAAACACUGGCCAGAACAGCCACGCCAUAGAAACGGGACGUCCUCACAAACCUUAAACAGCAACAGCUGCCGUGAAGCAUUGCUUUUAGCUACAGAUCAUGAUGUAGAAUCUUUUCAAUGUUCGUUCCAUGCUAGUACCUGCCUAGAUAGUCAUCAGGAUCAUGAAAGGUUUACAUGACUGCGUAAUAGUGGCUCUAGAGAACAGAAACGUAACAAGACGGUGACACAUUAAGAUUCAAGAAACAGUUUCAUCAGCACAUAAAAAUCCAUGCACGGCAUCCGAAUAAUCAAACAGUACAAAUGUUAAAGAAAAAGAAAACAUAUCUUGUCUUAAGACCAACUACAUACGCUAGAGUCAUCCAGUCAAGAGAAAUCCCGCUUCCGCAAUUGUAUCAGCAGCAAAAGAACACAAAUGCCAAGGAAGAACAAUACUCGGCCGCCUGGCCAUUCAAUAGUCAUACCAAAACAUUCAAGGAAACAAGCGGAGGCCCCCACCCCCCAACACUUCCAGCAUUGUGGAACCAAGUGCUCACGCGUUAUCAGCAUAAGGGGACUCCUCGCGCUGGGGUGGCUGUGCUGGGGACCUGCUAUAGCUCCGUUCACGGGCAGGCGGUGGUGACUUGCUGAUGCUUCUGGCACGAGGAGGCGGUGGUGACCUGCUGAUGCUUCUGUUGCGAGGAGGCGGAGGUGACCUGCUGAUGCUUCGCGCACGGGC